GACAGAGGCCUCAAGCGUUAGGCGGAAUCACUGGGCUUAAAGCGUGUGUAGGCGGAUCGUUAAGUGUCUUGUGAAAUCCCACGGCUCACCCGUGGAACUGCUGGGCAUACUGGCGAUCUUGGGCCAACUAGGGGCAACUGGAACAAGCGGUGGAGCGGUGAAAUGCGUAGAUAUCGCUUGGAACGCCAAAGGUGAAAACAGGCUGCUGGGGUUGUGCCGACGCUGAGACACGAAAGCCAGGGGAGCAAACGGG
rnacentral:rRNA from 1 species